rnacentral:misc_RNA from 1 species
AACUUUCAACAAUGGAUCACUUGGCUCUCGCAUCGAUGAAGAACGCAGCGAAAUGCGAUAAGUAAUGUGAAUUGCAGAAUUCAGUGAAUCAGCGAAUCUUUGAACGCACCUUGCACCCUUUGGAAUUCCGAAGGGUAUGCUCGUUUGAGUGUCAUUGUACUCUCACACUCUCUGAUCCUUUGGAUUCGGGGAGCGGUGGACUUGGGUGUUUGCUGCUUUUCCUUGUGGCUCACCUCAAAUUCGUUAGUGCACCUCCUGGUUGGACAUAGUACGGCGUGAUAAGUGUCUUCGCCGGCGCCUCGCAAGAGGGUGGCCGAUCGAGAGCUCUGCGCUUUCAAACCGUCUUCGGACAACAUCUGACAACUUGACCUCAAAUCGAGUAGGACUACCCGCUGAACCUAAGCCUAUCAAUAAGCGGAGGAU